rfam:Streptomyces sp. NRRL S-1521 P341contig80.1, whole genome shotgun sequence.
GCGUGGGUCGGCCCGCUGCGCUGGAGUCAGCGGGCUGGGGGACACCGCCGCCUCCAUCCCCGCGGGCGGCGGACCGGUCCGGGAGGUGAACACCGCCUCCCGGGCUGUG